rnacentral:lncRNA from 1 species
CCCGUUUGAACAACCCGGGCCGUUGUGGGGGCGGCCGCGCGCUCGCUCCCCCCCCCGCCGCGCAGAGCCAGACGCAGCGGCGGGCGGGGACAAGAUGGCGCCGCCCCCCAAGUGAACACCCAGCGCUGCCUCUCGGAGAGCCCGUCAAGGCUGCCGCGCUGCAGAGUUCUGGAUCAGAUACCACCUGAGGAGCCUCUGAGAAACAUUUAAGAAACUUUCCUGAUGCAGGUUUGGAAAGCACCAAUACCAGCAGGAAAGCAAGAAAGGAAAUGAAAUACAGCACUACUGUAGAAACAAAGAAAGGAUCAUCUGUUGUCCAGAAGGGUUCAGUUCCAUUACCAAGUUUAUCUUCUAGUCAUGUGAAGAGAAAAAGUAAAAAACAGUUCUCAGAAAAUGUAAACAAACCUAUGGUUUUAAAACCAGCAACUCUAGUGGAAUCUUACUUAGAUCAGUCCUUACAGAUUUCAUCUCUAAAUAAAGAUGGUAUGCUGGAUGAACUGCAGAUGCUAGGUGAUAUCACUAAACAUCUAAAUCAGAUUAUAAACUCAUUGGAAAAUUUUUAUUAAAAAAAUGUUGAAGUGAAAGACGAAGAAGAUGCACAAGAAGACUCAAAUCAGAAAGAUCAUGAGGAUAUGACUGAGUCACUGUUGUGUUUCUCAACAAUCUCAUCACAGUUAGAAGCAUCAUUUGAUGAAGAAAGAGAAGUAUGUAAUGUGAAACUUAUUUCUUUGAUUCUCAUUACAAUGUAAUGAAGAUAAAUUUAAGAACUGUGUCUACAGAUUUCUACUUGUGGAAAGCUUUUACAGUUCUGCAGUCAGGACAUUUUUUAUGUCAAG